AAAAGAAAACCCCACUGAGAAGCAGGACAAACUACCACUGGUCACAGAGCUGGUUGGGGACUGCAGGAAUCUUCUCUUUUGAGCUCUAGACUCCCUUGGGAAAUUACGCUAGACCAACCACUCACAGUUAGUGAGAAAUGGAGCUACAGCCUUGAUUUCCCCUUUCCCAAGCCAAGCCCUUCGUGAAGGUCUUGAAGGUUCCAAGGUAGGCAGAAGCAGAUAGCAUAGCCUAGGACAGGCCUGCUGUGUUUGCCAGGGAAAGAGAAGAUGUGAUGGGGCCAGCCUGCACAGGCUCUCUGGGCAAUGCCAGGACAGUGGGGCUUGGGGAGGCCCCGAGGGAAAGUCAGGUGGGCAGGACGUUAUCCCACAUUUAUUGAAUACUUACUUCUAGCCAGGCAGGAAGCUAAGGAUUUCACCUACACAGUCAUCCAUCAGCCUUCAUGUGAGCUGGGAAGGUGGAUCUGUGACUCACCUUACAGGGAGGCCACAGGGCACAGAGACCUGGGGCCGCUUGUCCCAAGGCACAAGGAUGGAGCUUUCUAUCUAACUCUUUGGCCUGAGCAGUCUUCAAGUUUGGCGUCUCGAUCCUGGGAGACUCCUGGGCUUUGUAAGGACACAGGUGCCCCUGUGGGCUUCUCAGAGGACCCUGUGGUGGAAUUAGCCCUGAGGACAGAGUGGGGCACUGCAGGAGUGGGGACAGGGCUGCCUUUCUUUCUCCCACUUCUCUGGAUACCACAUUGAAAGAAGUGAGUCUUCUCUGUUCAAGUUAUUGCAGCAGCUGCUAAGCCUGGUUCAGUGUCUACUGCCCCCUACCAGUUUACCAGUGAGUUCCCACCCUAAGGCCUCCUGGGCAUCUGCUCCCCAAAAGUCCUGUUUCCUGUCAGCAACAAGGCUGUCAGGGUGGAAGUGGUCUCCAGUCCUGUCACAGGAAGCCCAAUACCCUGUCUCCAGAGUUCUUCUGGGAAUCCGGGUUCCUCUCAGCCGCCCAAUAGUGGGUUAUAGGUUACCGCUCUCUACACACAGCUACUCUCUUUAGGCUGCUGUCACAACUGGGGACACACCUAACCUAGACACACAGGCAUGCAAUCAGGGCAAUCCUGAUAACACCUUAUGGUGUUAUGAUCAUCCUUUGGCUGUGACAGAAAUACAGACAGACAGACAGACAGACAGACAGAGACUCUUCAUCAGCCCUCAACUCUGUAGUAGGAAGAGAUGCCAUUUACACACCACACAGAUGUGAGCACACACGCAUGAGGUCAUACACGGGGAGAGACACCUCCACUCACACCAUGACCGCUCCACAGACAGGGGCUGCCCCCCUCCCCUUUCUCAGAGUGUUAGAUGCUCUCACACUGGAGACCACAGUGGCGUUUGCAGCUGGGGUAUGAGUGCUGCUCACCACCUACUAGGAAGGACAGGGCUGCCUUAGCUUUUCUUUACUUUGUUAGAAAACUACACAUCCUAGUGUCGUGGCACCAGAGUGGAGGUCAGAGGGCAGCUGACUAGAAGUGCUUCUCUCCUCCCACUAUGUGGAUCCCUGAGACUGAAUGAAGGCUGUCUAUCUGUCUUGUAGGAAGGCCCCUACCACUGAGCCACCUCCCCAGCCGGCACCCUUGCCUUUUCUAUUACAGGGUAUUAACCCUCAUCCUCCCCACACUGCCCAAGUGCCAGAGCUCCUGGGGAUGACCUCACGCUUGCUGUCAGGACCAGCCUGAGGCAGCAGAAGAAAUCAGCACAGAGAGGGUGCUGAGCAGACUGGAAGCAACCCAGCACAGCACAGGGCUCUUACUUGUUUGCACUUGUCGUCGGCACUUUUCUUGUCUGCCUCAGCCCGCUCAGCGCGGUUGUUGGCAGUCUUCAUGUUUAGAUUCCGCAUCUGUAUCUUUUUCUUGGUGGCCUCCAUGGUUUCUGUGGGGCAUGGACACAGGGCUGAAUGAACAGCCCAGGGUGGAGGACCAGGCCUUAUAAGCCCUGCAUGCUUGCCCUUCUGUAGGCUAGUCUUGGAGGAGGCCCAAGUCUGCUGCCGGGCCAGCUGCUACUUGCUUACACAAGGGAAGACUCGGCCAGUUCGCCAGCCUAAAACCCUGGCCUUAUUUGGGCCUAGGCUUUUCUUAAAGAAAAAGGAUGCCAGCUCAGGUUCCAUUUAUAACCUGGGGACACAGGUAUGGGACCUGCGUGUACUGUGUGGGCAACAGGCCAGCACAGCACCGGGGUCACAGGUUUUACCACAGCGCCAGCUGCAUUCCACCAUACUAUUCUGUAGUUCUGGGUGUGGAAUUCAGCACGUCUUACCACAUUCCCGAUAGGAAACUGAGGCCCAAGGAAGCUCACUCAUGGCCACCCAGCUUGUCAGUGACGCAGUGGACCCUGGUGCUGAGAUGAGCUGGGGACCGAACCCAGGGCCUUGCGCUUCCUAGG
rnacentral:sRNA from 1 species